GCCCCUGUAGCUCAGUGGAUAGAGCAGCGGUUUCCUAAACCGCUUGUCGUGAGUUCGACUCUCACCAGGGGCA
rnacentral:tRNA from 1 species